GACGAACGCUGGCGGCGUGCUUAACACAUGCAAGUCGAACGAUGAAGCUGGAGCUUGCUCCGGUGGAUUAGUGGCGAACGGGGGAGUAACACGGGAGAAAUCUGCCCUUGACUCUGGGAUAACUGUGGGAAACUGUAGCUAAUACCGGAUAUUUUCCUUUGUGGGGAUCCACUGGGGAAGAAAUAACUACGGUCAAGGGUGAUCUCGCGGCCUGUCAGCUAGUUGGUGAGGUAAUGGAGCACCAAGGCGACGCCGGGUAGCCGGCCUGAGAGGGGGACCGGACACACUGGGACGGAGCCACGGCCCAGACUCCUACGGGAGGCAGCAGUGGGGAAUAUUGCACAAUGGGCGCAAGCCUGAUGCAGCAACGCCGCGUGAGGGAUGAAGGCCUUCGGGUUGUAAACCUAUUUUAGCAGGGAAGAAGCGAAAGUGACGGUACCUGCAGAAAAAGCACCGGCUAACUACGUGCCAGCCGCCGCAGUAA
rnacentral:rRNA from 1 species